AUAUGCAGAGAUGGAACAUGUGUGAGCAACUGUUGUGGUCAGCAAGAGGCACUAAAUAAGGAUUCUAACCCACGCUGCCUGCCAACUAAUGUAAAAAAAUCUACAUACAAUUACAAGACCAUAAGCGGUAGUCCAAUCGAAGCUCCAAGUGAUGAAGUGAUUAUUACUAUUGUGCCUGACUGUAAAACAAUUAUUUUCCUUGACUGUGAACGUUACUAUCUACUUCCAAAUGGCCAGUUGUAUGAAUAUGAGAAGAGUUUUACAUAUGGCUUAAAUACCUACUGUAUUACACACAAUGAAACCGGUUCCAUGACUGGAGCGUUUGCAUGCCAUGUUCCUCAGUCCAAGGCAGGGACUGUGAAAAGUUAUUUUCAGUCAGUUGGGGUGAUAUUAUCAGCCAUAUUUCUCAUAGUGACAGUACUCUUCCACAUUUUCAUCCCAGAACUACGGGACAUGCAAGGCCUCUGUCUGCUGUGCCAUAUGUCCUCGCUUAUUGUUGCAGACUUGGCCUUAUUUACAUCCUAUAUUUUCUCACAAGAUUUGACUCGAACUCAUUGCAUUAUCAACGGAGUAAUUCUUCAGUUUUCAUUUUUGGCAGUGUUUUUCUGGCUGAAUGUAAUGUGCUUUGACAUCUGGCGAGUAAUAAGAGGCACUGUUCACUGCAUACCAAUAACUGGUAUCUUGGCCAAUGACGCUAAAAAAUUUCGGGUGUACUCUACCUAUGCGUGGGGUGGCCCUGUGAUCGUGACGGUCGUGGGGAUAAUAGUGGAGAAUCUUCCAGAUCAUCCUACUUUCAACAGCCUGAUUCGGCCAGGAUUUGGAAAGGUGUCAUGCUGGUACCAAGGUGAUAUUGAACGCUUAACACACUUUUAUGGAAUAGUGGCACUUCUGUUCGUGAUGAACCUCCUGCUGCUGGGCCACACCGUCUUCAUGUUAUACCAGGCUGGCAGCGCCUUCCAGUGCUGUGCCCGCCAGUUCAACAUCACCGCAUUUAACAGACAUCACCUUGAAAUAUUCUGGCAGCGCUUCACUCUGUUCCUUUUGAUGGCUCUAUGUUGGACCACAGAGAUUCUUUCAUGGAAAAUUCCUCCCCCUGAACUAUGGUUCUUGACUGAUGUUUUAAACUCACUGCAAGGAUUUAUUAUCUUCUUGAUCUUCAUUAGUGGAAAGAAAAAACGUGAACUAGUACGAGAUGCUUUGACUGGAACCAUUUCUGCAGUGUCAAAUGCGGCGAGGAAGAUAUCUAUGAGUAAUGACACUGCGGCCACCUGGCAUCAAGAUACAAACUCCACAUCAGUUUUAAUGCAUCAUCAAACACAUGGGAUGACAUAUUUAGCAACAAAUUCUAUGGAAGAAAAGAGAGACAAUUAACACAAUGCAAUAUAAAAAAAAAAUUAGCUACAAGAUGCAAAUCUCACUUGAAAAUAAUAUUCAUGUGUUAUUUUGAAUAACAAUUAUCGAAAUUUUAGAUCUUGGCUGCUGCAGGAAGUGUUUGAAUACUCCAGAUGCAUUUUGUUAUAUAUAUGGAAUUUUUACUAUACCCAGUCAAAGGACGAAUAUAAUUGAAAAAAUGCACAAGGGCCGUGACGAGGAUUCGAACCUACGUCCGAGAGCAUCCCAGACGCUGCCUUAAUCGACUGAGCUACGACAUGGUCAAAAGAAUUAAGAUCAGAAGUUCUACUGAACUUACUUGGAU
rnacentral:misc_RNA from 1 species